rnacentral:rRNA from 1 species
CGGUAGUCCACGCAGUAAACGAUGUCUAUUAGAAGUUUGUGGCUAUAUGCCGUGGGUUUCAAAGCUAACGCAUUAAAUAGACCGCCUGGGGAGUACGGCCGCAAGGUUAAAACUCAAAUGAAUUGACGGGGGCCCGCACAAGCGGUGGAGCAUGUGGUUUAAUUCGAUGCAACGCGAAGAACCUUACCAUCCCUUGACAUCCAGAGAAUCACCUAGAGAUAGAUGAGUGCCUUCGGGAACUCUGAGACAGGUGCUGCAUGGCUGUCGUCAGCUCGUGUUGUGAAAUGUUGGGUUAAGUCCCGCAACGAGCGCAACCCUUAUCCUUAGUUGCCAGCACGUAAUGGUGGGAACUUUAGGGAGACUGCCGGUGAUAAACCGGAGGAAGGUGGGGACGACGUCAAGUCAUCAUGGCCCUUACGGGAUGGGCUACACACGUGCUACAAUGGGGCAGAUACAAAGGGGUUGCUAACCUGCGAAGGGUAUGCGAAUCUCAGAAAGUCUGUCGUAGUCCGGA